rnacentral:rRNA from 1 species
UACGGAGGAUGCAAGCGUUAUCCGGAAUUAUUGGGCGUAAAGCGUCCGCAGGUGGCUUGACAAGUCUGCUGUCAAAGACCGAAGCUUAACUUCGGGCAGGCGGUGGAAACUGUCAGGCUAGAGACCGGUAGGGGUAGAGGGAAUUCCCAGUGUAGCGGUGAAAUGCGUAGAGAUUGGGAAGAACACCAGUGGCGAAGGCGCUCUACUGGGCCGCAACUGACACUGAUGGACGAAAGCUAGGGGAGCGAAAGGG